GACAGAGGGUGCAAACGUUGUUCGGAUUUACUGGGCGUAAAGCGUGUGUAGGCGGCUUGGCAAGUUGGAUGUGAAAUCCCGCGGCUCAACCGUGGACGUGCAUCCAAAAACUGCUUCGCUAGAGUCUCGGAGAGGAAGGUGGAAUUCCUGGUGUAGCGGUGAAAUGCGCAGAUAUCAGGAGGAACACCGGUGGCGAAGGCGGGUCUCUGGGCAGUAACUGACGCUGAGGAGCGAAAGCGUGGGGAGCGAACAGG
rnacentral:rRNA from 1 species